GGGAGGCAGCAGUGGGGAAUAUUGGACAAUGGGGGCAACCCUGAUCCAGCCAUGCCGCGUGUGUGAAGAAGGCCUUCGGGUUGUAAAGCACUUUCAGUUGUGAGGAAAAGUUAGUAGUUAAUACCUGCUAGCCGUGACGUUAACAACAGAAGAAGCACCGGCUAACUCCGUGCCAGCAGCCGCGGUAAUACGGAGGGUGCGAGCGUUAAUCGGAAUUACUGGGCGUAAAGCGCACGCAGGCGGUUUGUUAAGCUAGAUGUGAAAGCCCCGGGCUCAACCUGGGAUGGUCAUUUAGAACUGGCAGACUAGAGUCUUGGAGAGGGGAGUGGAAUUCCAGGUGUAGCGGUGAAAUGCGUAGAU
rnacentral:rRNA from 1 species